rnacentral:rRNA from 1 species
AUGAAAAUGAUGAUGUCACGCUUCGUAUUGAUAUGGGAUUCAAAUUCGAAUCCCAUAUCUGAGGCAUUCAUGGUGGAUAUUCUUCGUAUUGAUAUGGGAUUCGCUUUCGACCAUCAAGGCCAGCAUAAUUAUACAUGCAUUGCUUCUAUGCAAGUGCAAUCGAAGUACUCCUACAGAUCACCAGAUCUGGUAGUGGUAUUGACAAUCAAACUGGCUCCAUUUAAAACAAGUGCCUCCGGUAUGAAUAUGGUGAUGCAAAUUGUUUAUUUAUCUGGCCAACCGAGGCUUCCUUUCCGGUGCGAUCUGCAGAAAGGGGAGAUGGGUGACAAGUGUAAGUGUAGUGUGGUAGCUCAACGAAACCUCACCAGAUGCAGAUAG